rnacentral:rRNA from 1 species
AGAGUUUGAUCCUGGCUCAGAUUGAACGCUGGCGGAAUGCUUUACACAUGCAAGUCGAACGGCAGCACGGGGGCAACCCUGGUGGCGAGUGGCGAACGGGUGAGUAAUACAUCGGAACGUGCCCAGUCGUGGGGGAUAACGUAGCGAAAGCUACGCUAAUACCGCAUACGAACUCAGGUUGAAAGCGGGGGACCGUAAGGCCUCGCGCGAUUGGAGCGGCCGAUGGCAGAUUAGGUAGUUGGUGGGGUAAAGGCUCACCAAGCCUGCGAUCUGUAGCUGGUCUGAGAGGACGACCAGCCACACUGGGACUGAGACACGGCCCAGACUCCUACGGGAGGCAGCAGUGGGGAAUUUUGGACAAUGGGCGCAAGCCUGAUCCAGCCAUUCCGCGUGCAGGAUGAAGGCCUUCGGGUUGUAAACUGCUUUUGUACGGAACGAAACGCGAUGGGUUAAUACCCUGUCGUAAUGACGGUACCGUAAGAAUAAGCACCGGCUAACUACGUGCCAGCAGCCGCGGUAAUAC